AAUAAAUGUUAUUCUAUACUAUACUGUCGUGUGGCCAGUCUUUCCAGGGAGUGGGGGUAAGAGAUGCCUUGCCAUGGGCCUGCCGAGGCACCCCAUUCCCAUACCUCACCAUACCCUCAGUAGAACAUAUUCCCUCUCUCUUUAUCUUUGUAUAAACACAUCAGUUAAUGUGAUCACAUUCUAGUUAAUACUUGUAACCAGAAAUAACAUGAGAAAUGUGCACAAAGCUCUUUGAAGGACAUUGGCAAGCAAGGAUGCUCUUCUCCCCAUCUGUCUUCCUGAAUGUAGUGCUGGCAGCAUCAGCACACUGGAGUUCCAGCUCUGUACUGACCACCCCAGGAAACACUGCACAGGUCUCUGGAGGGGUGACUGCACUUUUUUAUUCCUCUGAUGAUGCAAUGCUACUGCUGGGUGAUGUGAACACUGAGCUUCAGGCAGAAGUUUUUGCCACAGUAGUAAGCAAUAAACAUCUUGAGGAUGUCAUCAAUGACCCUCCAGAAGCUGAUGGCUCCCCUCAGAAAGUACCUAGUCUCCCCUUCCUUCACACAUAAUAUUGGAAGGUACCUGGAACCUAGCACAGAGCAGGACAGACAUGUGAUCAGAAGUCGCAUGGCAAACUGACAUGAUCAAAAGCACAAUGUCUCAGACCUCUAAGAAAUGCCUCCUGAAACAUUGCUAACUUCACAAACACAAUGAGUUGCUCAGAUAAGCUUCCGGUGUCCUUCAUCUUCGUGUUGCUAUGUGGUGGCUGGACUACUAGUAGCAGUUUUCUCUGAAACCCUUCAAAGCACAGAGGUGGCAUAAACCAGUUAGUUGACUAUUCUCUGAUUUCCACAGGUCAACAGAAGCCAUUUGUCCAUCUGUCCAGAAACACUUGCACAUUGACUUCUAAGUAUCCCCUUCUCAGAAGUGUAACCCUGUAAUAAUUAUUCAUUUGAUAUACAAGAAUCGCAUUUUGCUGCUGUAUUCAAACAUGACAGAGGUGAAAGAACAAGACUGCUGAAUGCUAUGUAAAACCUCCUUCACAAAGCUCUUAAACCUAUUCACUAUGGCUCCACCUCCAUGUUUUAAUCUCCCCCCCCCAAAAUCCUAACUCUUAAUUAUAGCACAUUGUUGAUUAUGUUUCAAUGCAUGAAUAUUGGAAAGGAAUAAAAACUUAAAAACAAAACCAAUAAAUAGCACAGCAGUGACUUACCACACAUUCAUGUGUUUGCAUACACACGCAUACAUACAUACAUACAUACACACACACACACACACACACAAAACCUACAAAGUAUUUUGCCAAUAUUUAGUUAUGAAUCUAUUUGUAGUUAACAAAGUGUCUUAGUCACUGAUCUGUUGCUGUGAAGAGACACCAUGACUAAGGCAACUCAUACAAAAAAAAAAUAUUUAACUGGAAACUUGCUUAGAGUUUAGGGGGUUAGUCCAUGAUGAUCAUGGUGGAAAGCAGACAGGCAUUACAUUGGAGCAAUAGCUGAGAGCCUUAUAUCCUUAUAUGCAGGCAGCAGGCAGAUAGAGGGAUAUGCUGGGCCUGGUGUGAGCCUUUAAAACCUCAAAGCCAAUCCCCAAUAACAUAUCUCCUCCUACAAGGCUAUAUCCACUCUAAAAAGGCCACACUUUCUAAUACUUUUCAAACAGUUCUACUAACUGGGAACCAAGCCUCCAAACGUAUGAGCUUCUAGUGGCCAUUCUCACUCAAACUAUUACAUUCCACUCCCUGAACUCCAUAAAGCCUGUAGCCACAUCAUAAAGCAAAUUACAGUCAGUCCAACUUCAAAAGUCCCCAUAGUCUCAACACUAUUUGAAAGUUCAAAGAUCAAACUCUCUUCUGAUAUUUAAUGUAAAUUCUUAACUGUAAACUUCCUAUAAGAUCAAAAAACUAAUUAUAUGUUUUCAACAUACAGUGGCCUACAUUCCAAACAAGAGGAAAUGGUGCAUAGUGAGGAAAUUCUGGAACAAAGCAAAACCAAAAAACCAGAAGGAAAAACUCCAAAUUCUGUGUCUACAUUCUGUGCCAAAAUGGUCUUAAGGUCUCCCACUCCUCCCAGCUUUAUUGACUGCAGCACACUUCUCUCUCUUGAGCUGGUUCCACAUCCAGUGUCCUCUGGUAUCCCUAAAGCCGUCUAGGCUUUACUGUCACAGCUUUGUACAACGGCCUUCAUGAAUGGACUCCCUUAACUGGCCUCAGUGGUUUUUCUUAACUUCCAAGGAAAACUAUGCAACUCCUUUCCUGUAUCCUUCAUGACUCUAAGUUCAGAACCCUAUGGCAGAAGUUUCCAUCCUGCUUUCUAGAGCUAGAAAGUGACCCAUCCUUCAGUUACAUUUACAUAAAUUUCUAUUGCUGGGGGUUUUCUUUGCUGCUUAAGCUUUGCUUCAACUCCUUUUUCACAGGUUGGAAGCUUAGCUGGUUUGGGAUCUUGCCCUAAGGGGACUCCUUUCUAAUUCCAAUUUGAAGCAGGUCUUUGUUUAAUCUUUUUAUCUCUUUGAACAGGACUUGACUAUGGCAGUAUAUUUUCUGGUCCUUCUUUUCUCCUCAAAUUGUACGUUCUGGUUUUGUUCAGCUUGUACCUUUUCAUUUUAGAUCUGCAUGAAUGAUUGAUUACUAAUAACUACAUGACACCAUGAAUACUGUCUUGAAAUCUCCUAAUGAAACCUUUAAUCCAAAUGUCUUCAAUUCAACUUCAAACAAAGUUUCAGGACAAAGGUAAAAAACAGCCACAUUUUUUGCCAAAAUAAAACAAAACCUGUCUCUAAGCCACUUACUAACAUUCUUUCCCUCUGAAACUUCUUGAAUUAGGCAUGCACAGUCCACAAAGCUCUCAGCACCACUGUCUUCCAUGCUCCUACUAGGAUAACCCAUUAAGCCCCACUUAAAGCAGUCAAUGACUUUCCUAAUCUAAAGUCCCAAAGUCUUUUAUAUUUUUCCAACUAACAGCAUAGGCAUACCUAUCACAGCAAUAUACCAUUCCCCAGUAUAAACUUAUAUCUUGGUUAGUAUUGCUGCAAAGAGACAACAUAAACGAGAAAAUUUUUAUAAAAGAAAAUAUUUAGUAGGGGUCUUUCUAACAGUUUUAGAGGUUUAAUGCAUAAUUGUAGUGGUAAGCAGAUAGACAUUGCCCUGGAGAAGUAGCUGAAAGUUUUAUACAUCUUUAUCUGCAGUCAGCAGGCAGAGAGAAAGAAAGGGUAGCACUGGGGGGAUGGGGCUGGCAUGGACUUUUGAAACCUCAAAGCUGAUCCCAGACACACCUCCUCCAACAAGAUCAUGUCCAAUCUAACUAAGUCAUAUGUCCUAAUCCUUCUCAAAUAGUACUAAUAAUCGGGGACCAAACAGUCGAGAAUGAUCCUUUGAGGGUUUUCUCAUUCAAAUCUCUACAUCAUUGUCUCGUACGUCCACAGUCAUCUGACUAAUUAGCAAGUUAUACCUGAAACGAGAAAUACUUGCCCUUAUAACUCUCUGGUAGAACACAUAUGUGACAUAAGUCUGAGGAAGUCCCUCUGUGACCCAUGUAUGAUAAGUCACCACCACCACUCGGUUCAAUUAUUUGCUAAACUGACUCUCAGAAACAGCAAAGCAACUUUACUCAUUGCUACAAUUUAUGAAACAGAGAGAAUAUAGGCUAAUUCAGCAGUGGGGAAAGCUUGUCUUGUAGCAUCUAAGAAGGCCUGAUGUAGAGUGUCAGUUGUUCCUUUCUAGGAGAGCUGUGUAAUACUAAAUUAUAUAACAAUGAUACAUGAUUCCUCAUACAAAGUAAUGACAACCAGCAAUUUCAACCAAGCUUUGCUGUCCAUAGUUUUUGUUGUUAACCAGUCUUGUGAAACAUCUUUAUGGUUUAUUUUAGCCACAUGUACUCUAGUUCCUAAGAGGUCAAACUGAUGACACAUGGCUAAAUAGACACUGUCUCAAUCAAACUGGUAGCAAAAUCAGGUAAACAAGAACACAAACAUCAGGCAAACUAUUCCACAAACCCCAGAGAUGUCUCUCAGAAGCUAAUUCAAGAGCCAGUCCUUUCACUAAUUACCCCUUCACUAAACUGAUCUUCUACCUUAUUUGUACUUUAUCUUAUUCAUUAACUUAUCCCAUCUGACUUUUCUCAAUUCUUUCCAUGCAUUUUAAGUUGUAAUUGGAGAAUUUUAAUUUUUCUGAGAUAUAUCCCAGCAGCAAACAACAACAAAUGAUUACCACAACCAAGAUCUAUCCAGGUUGUCCCCAUUCUUACCUCAUAGCUUUGGAAUGUUCAAGCUGACAUUCUUACAGCUUGGCAAUCCUAUACUCAUGAAAGUUUUUCUUUCCUAAGAAUUCCAACCACAUACCAAAAAUCCAGACAGACUUUUUUUUUAAAUGGGAGAAAGGAGUUUAUUUGGUUUCUACUUCCAGAUCACAGACAGACUUUUUGAAGUCAAUUGAUCCAGCCACUGAGGUAAGGCAGUGACCAGGUCUGGUGAUAGGAGCAUCAUUUGGUCACUUGGUUAGAAAUGAAAGUGACUGUUUCAUUAAAGCAGAAUAAGCUUAUUGUAAACAGAAGAGGAAGCAGUUUUUUCCCUUAAUAUUUAUUGACCAAGGGUGGAGGUAUACCUACUCAAAUAGUAUACACAAGCUCCCAUAAGCGUAAGGACCGAAACUGAAUCUCUUGCAUCUGCAUAGAAAAGCUAGAUGUGGUGGUAUGCACCUGUAAUAUUCUAAAACCAUAGGAUACAAUACUGCAGUACUCAAGACAAGGGUCUUUAUGACAAAUUCAUAAGAAAACACAUUUCUUAUGCAUAUGAACAAUGAAAACAAAAAAAGUAAUCAAGGCUAAACUUACUUUAUCUUUCAUAAGAAAAGAAAAAACAGGAAAUUUAGAGGUGAUGGCAAAAGACUAUUGAAAAAUAAAUACGUGAAAAAAAAAAGAAAUCUGACAGGCUUUACACACUGGGACACUGACCUCUGAGAAGUGCAGAUAAGAGGCUAAAACCUUGAGUUUUCUUGACUAUCUGUCUAUUAAACAGUGUUAUGCCAAUUCCUUCUGAUUGUGCUCAGAAGUAUCAGAAACCAUACCAGAAUUUAUAUGUCACCAUGGAAGGAGAUCAAAGGGUUUUGAUCUGGGAAACAAAGGCAUCUCAAGAGGAAUUCAUUUAAGUGACUCUGCUGACCACUGGAGUCUUCUAAUGAUUAUUCUACUUUGACCUUCAACAGUCUUCAAACCUGCCUCUCCCCAUUCAAUAGUUUUAAUUAACUUUCCAGGGCUUAACCCUUAAAGAUAAAUGGGCAAAGUUCAAAACAUAUUUGGAUCUACCGCCAUGAAAGGUAGGUGUACUGGCUAGUUUUGUGUCAAUAUGACACAGCUGGAGUUAUCACAGAGAAAGGAACUUCAGUUGAGGAAAUGCCUCCAUGAGAUCCAACUGUAAGGCAUUUUCUCAGUUAAUGAUCAAGGGGGAAAUGCCCCUUGUGGGUGGGACCAUCUCUGGGCUGGUAGUCUUGGGUUCUAUAAGAGAGCAGGCUGAGCAAGCCAGGGAAAGCAAGCCAGUAAAGAACAUCUCUCCAUGGCCUCUGCAUCAGCUCCUACUUUCUGACCUGCUUGAAUUCCAGUCCUGACUUCCUUGGUGAUGAACAGCAGUAUGGAAGUGUAAGCUGAAUAAACCCUUUCCUCUCCAACUUGCUUCUUGGUCGUGAUGUUGGUGCAGGAAUAGAAACCCUGACUAAGACAGUAGGUUUUGUUGAUGGAUCAUUUAAAUAUCUUAACUAAUGCCAUGUCUUCCAUUCUGGUUGACCUGUAACUUCUCAGACUUCUCCUACUCUGAUUCUGGCCUUGCCCAUGUGUCUUGAAUCAGCCAGUGGGAAAGUAGUUAACUAUGUAAGUAGAAGCUUGAAGUACCUCUGAGUAUUUCCACUGCCACUCACAUGUAGUGUUGAAGUCUAGCUGACACUCUUCCAUACUUUUAAAUGUACUGACAGGCACCUAUCUGUAUCCCUACUUAACAGGCUUCUACUGCCAGGACAUGACAUUGUGUCAUCUCAUAGGGAAGUUAGGGUUCAUAAAGGGUUGCUACAUCCCAGUCCCACCUCUUUCCCUGACUUCUGCCUGGGAAUCCUAGAGCCUGGCUGCAAAAUCAUGCUAUGUACUACUCUCGACCUCAGUAUAUUAGUUUGCUUCUAUGCUGCUGCAAUGAAAGACUGACCUCAGUAACUUAGGGAAGAGUUUAUUUGGCUUAAAGGUUCCAGGCCAUCAUCCGGAGAGGGCACCUUUGGAGCUCAAUUCAGGAACCCAGAAGCAUGAAUGGAAGCAGAUCUGGUGGAGGAAUCUUGCAUAAUAAUGUAUUAGAUAGGAAAAGUAUAAACUCCGGUGUGAAGCUUUACAGUUUACGAAUGACUUCUAUCUGUAUAGAAGUUUGCUGAUCUAUAUAGACUUUGAGUCCAGGUAAUUUUGGUGUAUGAUGUGUUUUUAUUUUCAUGUUCUUUAUAAAUAAAUUUUAAAUUAGAAAACAAAAAAAGAAAGAAGAAAAUAAAAGAAAAAUAAAUACGUGGACCUAAGAAUGAGAGAAUGGAAAGAACUUCCCUAAUUUACAUAUAAAAGCCAGAUAUGGUGUUAUGUAAUCUCAGUGCUGGGCAGUGGACACCGGAGGAUCCCUAUCUCACACAAGGUAGCCAGUCUCACAGACUCAGUGUCCAUGGGUCUUAUUAAGACACUAGGAUGGCUGCUAAGAAAUAAUUUCCAAGGUUGGACUCUAGCCUCCACACGCCAACACAUAUACAUCUACCCAUGUACUCUAAUGGAGACAGUUUCCAUCUACUUCUAACUGUGGUUUGAGAAUUCUGCUGUUGUCGGUUCAUCUUUUUCUUGGUGAAGUGAGUUGACAGCAGUUGUCAUAGGCAAUUACAGCCCAGAACACAAAGCUGUAAGUCCCAUCUGGAGAGACUGGACACCUCAACUGGCACAAGCCAGCAGGAUCCUUGGGAAAUAUGAAUUUAUUCCAUGGGGCUUCUCAGAUUCUCUUUAACUUCUUAGCAAGAGGCAUUCUUUUAGGACACUCCUUAGUUUUCAGCCUUGUUUGGGUCCCCUUACAGCUUUAGUUUGAAAAGCUGAUUUUUCAGAAUGUGAUUUGGCAGGGACAAAUAGAGCCUCUGUCAGGAGAGCACACAUACCCCACUGAGAAGGUGAUGAAAAAGAACAGUAUGAAGGAUUCCAGCAGCCGAUUCCGAGAUACUGCUACCUGCUGAGAGGCCCCC